UACAGAGGGGGCAAGCGUUAUUCGGAAUUAUUGGGCGUAAAGGGCGCGUAGGCGGCCUGGCAAGUGGAAGGUGAAAUCCCUCGGCUUAACCGAGGAACUGCCCUCCAAACUGCUUGGCUUGAGUCCGGGAGAGGUGAGUGGAAUUCCCAGUGUAGCGGUGAAAUGCGUAGAUAUUGGGAGGAACACCAGUGGCGAAGGCGGCUCACUGGACCGGAACUGACGCUGAGGCGCGAAAGCAUGGGGAGCAAAAGGG
rnacentral:rRNA from 1 species